rnacentral:tRNA from 1 species
GCUCGUCAUAGCUCAGUCAGCAGAGCACAUCCAUGGUAAGGAUGGGGUCGCUGGUUCAAGUCCAGUUGUCGGCACCA